ACUACGUCGGCUGGGUUAUCCUUGGAUCUAACGUAUUUCCAUGCAAAACGAUCGCCCGUUGAAACUAUCUCGCAUACUCUAUUGCGAACGAACAGCUCCAGCUGUUCUGGCGGAUGCUUCAACCAAGCCAAUACAGAUCCUUUACCUAACGACCGGAUGUACACGCAGGCUCCGUAAGCUUCUCCGGAGGCAUCCGCAAAACCGUGAAGUUCAUGUGCCCUAACAUUAGCCGCUACCACUCUUCUGGGAAUCCUCAACUGACUCACAUCCUCUAGUGCACUUAGAAAUAACUUCCACUGUUGUAGCAUAAGAAGCUUUCCGAGAACUAUUACUGGAGCUGCUAAGCCCAGAGGAUCAAACAUCGUCGAAAGAAACGAUAAUACUUGUCUCUUCGUUGGGUGCUCGAUGUCUGAUGUUGGCAAAGAAAGGUAUCCUUUCCAUCAGCUCCUUGCUGUUAGCUGACCACUUGUGCAAAUGGAACCCUCCGUGCUUCAACAUUUCUAUUAGCUGCCUUUGUGCUUCAAUAGCUUCAUCUAUGUCAUCGAACCCAAAUAACUGCAGCUACCGGGUAUCGCAACUUCUCGUUGACAGCCAGUUGUGUCAAUGUUCUAGUGGCUAAAAAUGGUGCCGAUGCUGUGCCAUACGUAACCGUCUUGAGCUCCAAGACUCGUAAUGGAUCGCGGGAAUUCUUUCUCCAAAAGAUUCUUUGCAGCGGAGUAUGGCAUUCUGCGACGUCAAUCUGCCGAUACAUUUUUUCCACGUCAGCGGUCAAAACGUACUGGGGGAUGCGAAAUCCAAGAACUAUUGCUAGCAAAUCGUUUUGGCAAAUCGCACCAACCAUCAUCAUUUCGUUCAGAGAUCGACCAAGUACCCUUGCCGAAGCAUCGAACACCACUCUACACUUGGUUGUAGUAUUUGA